rnacentral:rRNA from 1 species
UGCAAGUCGAGCGCUAAUUGCAGGGUAGCAAUAUUUUGCAGUNUGGAGCGGCGCAAGGGUGCGUAACACGUGGGUAAUNUUGCCGUAAAGUUGGGGAUAACUCCGAGAGAUCGGAGCUAAUACCGAAUGUGGUAGCUGGGAGGCAUCUCUUGGCUCCUGAAGUUGGGGACCGCAAGGCCUGACGCUUUACGAUAAGCCCGCGGCCUAUCAGGUAGUUGGCGGGGUAAAGGCCCACCAAGCCUAAGACGGGUAGCUGGUCUGAGAGGACGACCAGCCACACUGGAACUGAGACACGGUCCAGACACCUACGGGUGGCAGCAGUCGAGAAUUUUUCACAAUGGGCGCAAGCCUGAUGGAGCGACGCCGCGUGGGGGAUGAAUGGCUUCGGCCCGUAAACCCCUGUCAUUCGGGAUCAAUGCGCAUGGUUGAACAUUCCAUGCGUGAUAGUACCGGAAGAGGAAGGGACGGCUAACUCUGUGCCAGCAGCCGCGGUAAUACAGAGGUCCCAAGCGUUGUUCGGAUU